CAGAAAGCACUGGAGACAAAGAGCUGCUAUUAACCUGCAGAUGCUACUGCAAGGUUCAUUCUGAGAUUGGUCACACUGCUUGGCCAAUGGAGUGCUCGUGUGACUAGAAGGGACCACCCUAUUCUGGGGUGAGAGGGCAAUUUGGUCUCCAUGCUCAUUUAAUCCUGAGAUCU
ensembl:misc_RNA